ACGAGUACAGAGAAUCAGGGUUUGGUUCUGGAGAGGCCGCCUGAGAAACGGCGACCACUUCCAAGGAAGGCAGCAGGCGCGCAAAAUUACCCACUCUCAAAAUGAGGAGGUAGUGAAGAGAAAUAACGAUGUUAGUCUUUUAAGGCUGACAAUCGGAAUGGGAACACUGUAAAAGGUUAUCGAUUAACAAUUGGAGGGCAAGUCUGGUGCCAGCAGCCGCGGUAAUUCCAGCUCCAAUAAGGAAACUAAAGUUGCUGUGUUUAAAAAGCUCGUAGUUGAAUUUCGGGUAUUUGUUGCUAGCUGGUCUAACUGGCCAUGUUGGUUAACAGAUCCUCAUUUGCUGGACGGCUGGCGAUGAUCUUUAUCGAUUGUCGUCAGUUGCCAGAACGUUUACUUUGAGAAAAUUAGAGUGCUAAAAGCAGGCUCACGCCUAUAUAUAUUGCAUGGAAUAAUGAAAUAAGAUCUCGAUUUUAUUUCGUUGGUUUUAGAAAUUGAGAUAAUGAUUAAUAGGAUCAGAGGG
rnacentral:rRNA from 1 species